rnacentral:rRNA from 1 species
UACGAAGGGGGCUAGCGUUGCUCGGAAUCACUGGGCGUAAAGGGUGCGUAGGCGGGGCUUUAAGUCAGGGGUGAAAUCCUGGAGCUCAACUCCAGAACUGCCUUUGAUACUGGCUGUCUUGAGUACGGGAGAGGUGAGUGGAACUCCGAGUGUAGAGGUGAAAUUCGUAGAUAUUCGGAAGAACACCAGUGGCGAAGGCGACUCACUGGCCCGUUACUGACGCUGAGGCGCGAAAGCGUGGGGAGCAAACAGG